UACAGAGGUCUCAAGCGUUGUUCGGAUUCAUUGGGCGUAAAGGGUGCGUAGGCGGCGCGGUAAGUCGGGUGUGAAAUCUCGGGGCUUAACUCCGAAACUGCAUUCGAUACUACCGUGCUUGAGGACUGGAGAGGAGACUGGAAUUUCCGGUGUAGCGGUGAAAUGCGUAGAUAUCGGAAGGAACACCAGUGGCGAAAGCGGCUUCCUGGUCCAGCACCGACGUCAGGCACGAAAGCGUGGGGAGCAAACAGG
rnacentral:rRNA from 1 species